rnacentral:tRNA from 1 species
UGCACUUAGAGUUUUGAUCUCUCAAGGAUAGGUUCGAGUCCUAUUUUUUUAGGAA